CGCGCAGGCGGGUUGGCAAGUCAGUGGUGAAAUCCUACAGCUUAACUGUAGAACUGCCAUUGAUACUGCUGAUCUUGAGUAUGGAAGAGAGAGACGGAAUUCCAGGUGUAGUGGUGAAAUACGUAGAUAUCUGGAAGAACACCAGUUGCGAAGGCGGUCUCUUGGUCCAAUACUGACGCUCAGGCGCGAAAGCGUGGGGAGCAAACA
rnacentral:rRNA from 1 species